GGGUACACCCUGAACUGGUUGCCAGCCAAUGGCAGGGCACAUAGAAACAAACAACCAUUCGCACUCACAGUCAUGCCUACGGGCAAUUUAGCGUCUCCAAUGAAUGCAUGUUUUUUGGGAUGUGGGAGGAAACCGGAGUGCCCGGAGAAAACCCACGCAGGCACGGGGAGAACAUGCAAACUCCACACAGGCGGGGACGGGGAUUGAACCCCGCACCUCAGAACUGUGAGGCUGACGCUCUAACCAGUCGGCCACCGUGCCGCCUUACCGGUACUAUUUCAGUUAAAUUUUACAGUUAGAGAAUACGAAAGACUUCUCAAUCAGAUCACCCGAAAGAAGGAAGUGGGCGGGGCUUGGCCCGACUAAAUACCUGGCCAGAGGGGGAGCAGGUCGGAAUGUGGAGACACGAUGUUCUCGUCAAGCCAAGCAUUGCACAAGCCAAGAAUGCGGGGUGGUGACUUAAUCACGCCAUGGAGAAGGAAAGCUUUUUUUUGUCCAGUUCUUCCUCAUCUGACCUUUUUAGUAAUUAUUGCGUGAUGGACAAGGAUAGGCUUGGGACUUCUUCGCACACAAAGGAAUAGGAGUCACAAGGGGAUGCAGAGAGAAGGACAUUUGAUCAUAUCUCCUCAUUAUCUCAUCUGGAUGCUCAGAUAAUUCUGGAAUAGUUGCACGGCUGUUUUGCUGCUUCUCAAUUUAAUUCAAACUGAAGUCAUGUGGGCAUUUCUUAAAAAGAUAUCAGAUUUGGGCUGUUUCCCAACUACAUUUCAGGUUACAUAAUUUUAUAAGUUGUAUACUGCAGUUUUUUUUUUUUUUCCAAUUUCAUAUUUUAUUACAUAUCUUAUUCAAUUAUAUAUUUUAUUUAUUUAAGUCCGUAACCCCACUUUGAAUUGCCCUUGUUGUUAUUGCGCCGCCGGCACAGUGGACGACUGGUUAGCACAUCUGCCUCACAGUUCUGAGGACCGGGGUUCACACCCUGCGUGGGUUUUCUCCGGGCACUCCGGUUUCCUCCCACAUCCCAAAAACAUGCGUGCUCGGUCAAUUGAAGACUAAAUUGGCCGUAGGUGUGAAUGUGAGUAUGAAUGAAUGAAUCCAUUUUCUACACUGCUUAUCUUCACGAGGGUCGCGGGUAUGCUGGAGCCUAUCCAGCUAACUGCGGGCGAGAGGCGGGGUACACCCUGAGCUGGUCGCCAGCCAAUCGCAGGGCACAUAUAAACAAACAAUCAUUCACACUUACGGGCAAUUUUGAGUCUUCAAUUAACCAACUGUGCAUGUUUUUGGGAUGCGGGAGGUAACCGUAGUACCCGGAGAAAACUCACGCAGGCACAGGGAGAACAUGCAGACUGCACACAGGCGAGGCCGGAUUUAAACCAGGGUCGUCAGAAUUGUGAGGCAAAAUUUGGUAACCAGUCGUUCACCGUGCCGCCUCUGAAAGGCAAUAAUAAAGUUGACGAUUUUAUGAUAA